CCACCAGCUCGGUUUUGUUCAUUCAUGCCAACAACCAAAAAAAUGCAGCAUGCCUGAAACUAUAUAGUACCUACAUGCUCUGUGUCAGUGUUGCAAAAUUUGAAACUGAACUCUUGGGGAGUAAAUGGAAAGAGUUUUAUGGAAUACAAGGGAAUUAAAAUCUUAGCUUGGUCUCUAGCUGAAACCAAAGGAUGCAUGAUACUACCAAUGGAACAAAUCAUAUAUGAGAUGGCAAAAUGAGUGGGAUUGACCUGCUGAACCAGAGGGCAGCGAAAGAUCAACAAUGAGAAAUCUAUUUUUUUUCUGCAAAAGUGCGUGCGGGUUGAUUAAAGAAAACGAUAGGGGGUUCUGCAAAAGUGCGUGCGUUGACCGGUCCAGCCACCUGGCUGCCAACUGUCGAGCUGUAAUUGGCCUGGGACUAAAUCAUCACAUGAGGUGCAAGUUGGGGUAUAGUGGAGUCAAGUUUUGCAAGUUUGGAACUGAAUCAUCACAUUGUAUGCAAGUUAGGAUACCUGCUAUUAGCUCAUUUCUAAGGGAGAUGUUCCAUCCAUCCUCCUACCUGCCGCCACCUACCUGCCUUCUCUGCCUCGGGAUCCUCCCGAUCCAGUUCCACCCGAGACCAAUUGCAGCCUCCACCUUCUCCUCGUUUUCUCCUCCUGUCCAACCACCGCCGCUGCCCAAAUCCUACAGGAGCCCAAGCUCCUCUGCCCGUGCGCCCACCUCUCCCGCAACACCUCCAGCUCCCUGUCCUCCCCUUCCCGCACGCCUUCCUCCUGCUUCGAGGAGCCACUCAUGCUCGAUCUCCACUACAGCCGCUGCUCAAGCCCCACGCCGCAACUCCAGUUCGUCUGCCGCCGUCCCCGGCGAGCUGCACCACCGACGGUCCGCGAACCAGGCCGCUCCCGCACCCCAGCCUCCUCACGUGCGAGCAGCAGCACAACCCCGAGCAUCCCCACGCCUGCGUGCCCGCCUCCCCAACCACCUCGCGUCGCCGGCAAGCUCUGCAGAUUCUAGCCAUGGAUGGGGGCCGAAGCCACCGACCGCUGCCUGGAGCCUCGCCUGCGCUGCAUCCCCCACUGGACCUCCCCUGUUUCGCCUCCCGCACCAAGCUCCUCAAGUUCCGCGUCCGUCGUGGCCAUGGAGCUCGUCGGCGUCGUCCUCGCCUGCAUCCGCCUCGGCCCUCGUCAGCAAGCUUCCGCAGCGUCUGGCCCUGCCAUGGCGGCUCGGCCUCCCCUGCUUCCUGUGUUAACCGCCGCACCAAGUCCCAGUCUCGCGCUCGGCCUCUGGAUCGAUCGAUCCAAUGCCAUGCCAGGCCUCCCCAUGUCCCGCCCAGCUAGGGCCUCCUCAACCGGCCUACCUCCUCCACCGAACGGGCCAAUGGCCCAUGUUGCAGGUACAGGUAAUGCGAUGAUCUGACACGAGUGCGAUUCUUGCUUGUUUGGAGUUCUCCUUCUUUGACCAAGGGAUAUGUUCCUGGUGGGGGAGCCUGGGAUUAGUAGGGUGGAUAUCGUUCUCCUUUUUCGUUUGAUUUCAUCCGUAGUCGGAUCCUGCUCUUCUGUAUGAUGGUUGCUAUCUAUUGAUGUAUUGUUGUAUGAAUGUUGUAACUUGUGGCGAGUGUAAGCCUUUAUAUUGUAUUCUCAUCUAUUCAAUACAUGGUAUGUUGUAAUGAUA